CCAAGCGUUGUUCGGAUUUACUGGGCGUAAAGGGCGCGUAGGCGGCUUGACAAGUCACUUGCGAAAUCUCCGGGCUUAACUCGGAACGGCCAAGUGAAACUGUCAUGCUAGAGUGCAGAAGGGGCAAUCGGAAUUCUUGGUGUAGCGGUGAAAUGCGUAGAUAUCAAGAGGAACACCUGAGGUGAAGACGGGUUGCUGGGCUGACACUGACGCUGAGGCGCGAAAGCCAGGGGAGCAAACGGG
rnacentral:rRNA from 1 species